rnacentral:rRNA from 1 species
GACGAACGCUGGCGGCGUGCUUAACACAUGCAAGUCGAGCGGUAAGGCCCUUUCGGGGGUACACGAGCGGCGAACGGGUGAGUAACACGUGGGUGACCUGCCCUCAGCUCUGGGAUAAGCCUGGGAAACCGGGUCUAAUACCGGAUAUGACUCCAUGACGCAUGUUGUGGGGUGGAAAGCCUUGUGCGGCUGAGGAUGGGCCCGCGGCCUAUCAGCUUGUUGGUGGGGUGAUGGCCUACCAAGGCGACGACGGGUAGCCGGCCUGAGAGGGCGACCGGCCACACGUGGGACUGAGACACGGCCCAGACUCCUACGGGAGGCAGCAGUGGGGAAUCUUGCGCAAUGGGCGAAAGCCUGACG